GAUGAACGCUAGCGGCAGGCUUAAUACAUGCAAGUCGAGGGGUAGCAAGAUUGUAGCAAUACAAUUGUUGACGACCGGCAAACGGGUGCGGAACACGUACACAACCUUCCUACAAGUGGGGAAUAGCCCAGAGAAAUUUGGAUUAAUACCCCGUAACAUAGCGAUGUGGCAUCACAUUGCUAUUAUAGCUUCGGCGCUUGUUGAUGGGUGUGCGGCUGAUUAGAUAGUUGGCGGGGUAAGGGCCCACCAAGUCUACGAUCAGUAGCUGAUGUGAGAGCCUGAUCAGCCAAACGUGCACUGAGACGCGGGCCCGACUCCUACAGGAGGCAGCAGUAAGGAAUAUUGGACAAUGGACGCAAGUCUGAUCCAGCCAUGCCGCGUGAAGGAUUAAGGUCCUCUGGAUUGUAAACUUCUUUUAUAAGGGACGAAAAAAGGUCUUUCUAGAUCGUCUGACGGUACCUUAUGAAUAAGCACCGGCUAACUCCGUGCCAGCAGCCGCGGUAACAC
rnacentral:rRNA from 1 species